rnacentral:rRNA from 1 species
GCCGCCUGGCCGCGGGAUUUCCGUAGGUGANACCUGCGGAAGGAUCAAUUAUACGAAUUUCACACCCUAAACCCCGAUCUGGCUGUGCGGGAGCGCAAGCUCCUGCGUGGGCGAUUUGCGGUAGGCUUCACGUCUAUUGGCUCUUCGUCAUUGCUAACCCUUUUUCCAACCUGUUUUUUGUUGAAAGAGAUUAACAUCACUUUACAACUUUUAGCGAUGGAUGUCUCGGCUCAGGUAACGAUGAAGGACGCCGCUAAAUGCGAUAAGCGCUGUGAAUGGCAGAUUUCCGUGAAUCAAGAGAAUGUUGAACGCAUACUGCACUUUUAGGUUAUUCCUGAAAGUAUGUCUAGUUCAGGGCUGUUAGCAUAUCAUGUUGCCAGCGAUGCAGUAGUUUCUACUGUUAGUUGGUAAACGUUCUUGUGCGCUAGAGACGUGGCUCUUCGGUUCUCCGUUGGGCGGACCUUUGGCGCAUGAAAUUCAAUGACUUUCACCAGUCAGUAACGAUCACGCUUCGUGUUUAACUCCGUGUUUCUCAUAGGUGCGAUCGUGUGACCGGUUGUCAUUCAAAGCUUUUUCCCUUCUGGCAUGAACUUAGACAAGGCUACCCGCUGAAUUUAAGCAUAUCAAU